AACUUAUCAAGAGAGGUAUGAGAGACGCGGCUCGUUAUUAGUACCCGGCAACCUGUAUAAAAAUACAAGGUGCCAAUUCCCGGCAUAUUAAAUGCGAAGAUAAGAA
rnacentral:ncRNA from 2 species